rnacentral:tRNA from 1 species
CAAAGCGUAGCUUAAUACUAAAGCACCUGACCUACACUCAGGAGACUUCCUUUUAGGAACACUUUAAGC